rnacentral:rRNA from 1 species
UGGGGAAUAUUGCACAAUGGGCGCAAGCCUGAUGCAGCCAUGCCGCGUGUAUGAAGAAGGCCUUCGGGUUGUAAAGUACUUUCAGUCGGGAGGAAGGUGGUAAGGUUAAUAACCUUAUCAAUUGACGUUACCGACAGAAGAAGCACCGGCUAACUCCGUGCCAGCAGCCGCGGUAAUACGGAGGGUGCAAGCGUUAAUCGGAAUUACUGGGCGUAAAGCGCACGCAGGCGGUUGAUUGAGUCAGAUGUGAAAUCCCCGGGCUUAACCCGGGAAUUGCAUCUGAUACUGGUCAGCUAGAGUCUUGUAGAGGGGGGGAGAAUUCCAUGUGUAGCGGUGAAAUGCGUAGAGAUGUGGAGGAAUACCGGUGGCGAAGGCGGCCCCCUGGACAAAGACUGACGCUCAGGUGCGAAAGCGUGGGGAGCAAACAGG